rnacentral:rRNA from 1 species
AUUGAACGCUGGCGGCAGGCUUAACACAUGCAAGUCGAACGAGUGGCGGACGGGUGAGUAAUGCUUGGGAAUCUGGCUUAUGGAGGGGGAUAACUACGGGAAACUGUAGCUAAUACCGCGUCCCAUCGGAUGAGCCCAAGUGGGAUUAGGUCGUUGGUGAGGUAAAGGCUCACAAAGCCGACGAUCCCUAGCUGGUCUGAGAGGAUGACCAGCCACACUGGGACUGAGACACGGGCCAGACUCCUACGGGAGGCAGCAGUGGGGAAUAGUGCGCAAUGGGGGCAACCUGACGCAGCCAUGCCGCGUGAAUGAAGAAGGCCUUCGGGUUGUAAAGUACUUUCAGUAGCGAGGCGUUAACUACAGAAGAAGCACCGGCUAACUCCGUGCCAGCAGCCGCGGUAAUAC